GUCCUUUUAUUUUCAUAUAAUCCAGGCACUUUAUUUGUAAGUCCGCACAGGAGACAGCAGCAAAUUAAAACAUAAAUAUAACACAAAUCCCUAUAAACAAAAACCUAGCUCGUCUAAGCACUUAUAAACUUCAGGUUCCCUAUCUCUCAGGGGUUAAACUAGAACAAAACAAUAUUGGUUUCACCAACCUAGUAUCUUUGUCAGCUCUCUGCACUCCAGUGCUCCAAGUCAGCCUUAACUGCUUUCCUUCUGCACGCCCAGUGCUCAAUCUCCUUGACUCUCUCACUGGAGAGAACAGCCUCUCUCCCACCUGCUUCCAGGGAGGAAGCCAGCAAUCUCCUUUUACCUGCCUAGCAGGGAGGGGUUUAUUCCCACUGCUACAGCUGAUUAUCUGCAGCUGAGCAGUGGGUUGGAGACAGUUCCAAAAAACUCUGGCCUGGACCUUAUUUCUACCAGUUGUGUAUAAACUGAUGAGUGGAGCAUUGGCCCACCCUGCUCUCCAAACGCUCCACCCCAGGGGCCCAUAACUAAGCUUUGGUUUGUGUUGCCUACAACACAUACUACACAUACUCCCCCUGGGGUUAAAUGUUAUAGGCCUCUCUGCCUUCACUUUAUCACAAUAUAUAAAAUUAAAGUAAUAUUAUAUAUUCUU